ensembl:piRNA 21ur-1446 ncRNA
UUAUGAACCCGCAAUGCGAGC